rnacentral:rRNA from 1 species
CGGGCGGCGGCUACACAUGCAAGUCGAGCGGAUGAGAAGAGCUUGCUCUUCGAUUCAGCGGCGGACGGGUGAGUAAUGCCUAGGAAUCUGCCUGGUAGUGGGGGACAACGUUUCGAAAGGAACGCUAAUACCGCAUACGUCCUACGGGAGAAAGCAGGGGACCUUCGGGCCUUGCGCUAUCAGAUGAGCCUAGGUCGGAUUAGCUAGUUGGUGAGGUAAUGGCUCACCAAGGCGACGAUCCGUAACUGGUCUGAGAGGAUGAUCAGUCACACUGGAACUGAGACACGGUCCAGACUCCUACGGGAGGCAGCAGUGGGGAAUAUUGGACAAUGGGCGAAAGCCUGAUCCAGCCAUGCCGCGUGUGUGAAGAAGGUCUUCGGAUUGUAAAGCACUUUAAGUUGGGAGGAAGGACAGUAAGAUAAUACCUUGCUGUUUUGACGUUACCGACAGAAUAAGCACCGGCUAACUCUGUGCCAGCAGCCGCGGUAAUACAGAGGGUGCAAGCGUUAAUCGGAAUUACUGGGCGUAAAGCGCGCGUAGGUGGUUUGUUAAGUUGGAUGUGAAAGCCCCGGGCUCAACCUGGGAACUGCAUCCAAAACUGGCAAGCUAGAGUACGGUAGAGGGUGGUGGAAUUUCCUGUGUAGCGGUGAAAUGCGUAGAUAUAGGAAGGAACACCAGUGGCGAAGGCGACCACCUGGACUGAUACUGACACUGAGGUGCGAAAGCGUGGGGAGCAAACAGGAUUAGAUACCCUGGUAGUCCACGCCGUAAACGAUGUCAACUAGCCGUUGGAAUCCUUGAGAUUUUAGUGGCGCAGCUAACGCAUUAAGUUGACCGCCUGGGGAGUACGGCCGCAAGGUUAAAACUCAAAUGAAUUGACGGGGGCCCGCACAAUCGGUGGAGCUUGGGGUUUAAUUCCAACCCCCGCGAAUAACCCUAUCCAGGCCUUGACUUGCAGAUAAGUCCCGUAACGAGCGCAACCCUUGUCCUUAGUUACCAGCACGUUAUGGUGGGCACUCUAAGGAGACUGCCGGUGACAAACCGGAGGAAGGUGGGGAUGACGUCAAGUCAUCAUGGCCCUUACGGCCUGGGCUACACACGUGCUACAAUGGUCGGUACAGAGGGUUGCCAAGCCGCGAGGUGGAGCUAAUCUCACAAAACCGAUCGUAGUCCGGAUCGCAGUCUGCAACUCGACUGCGUGAAGUCGGAAUCGCUAGUAAUCGCGAAUCAGAAUGUCGCGGUGAAUACGUUCCCGGGCCUUGUACACACCGCCCGUCACACCAUGGGAGUGGGUUGCACCAGAAGUAGCUAGUCUAACCUUCGGGAGGACGGUACCACGGUGGAUCAUAAGC